UUUUUUAUAGCGAGCAAUUAUGUCUAAUGCCUAUCGUCGUAAUCGACGCGAGUUUUAUCGCGAUUAAUAAUCGUAAUCGAGUUAUCGCCCAGCCCUAAGUAAUCAUACAAACAGGAAGAGUGACAGUAGAGUAAGCAUAGAGUAUAUAUUAAGCAGAGUAUAGAGUAAAGCAGGGAGGGCUGAUAAAUAAUCAUAUUUUUCUAUUCGAGUGUUGAGGAGACAGCACGGUCUUCUGCGGCAACCCGUUUGGCGGGGAGGGACGCUGUUGGAGAAUGUGUUUAAGUUUGAGAAUAAUAU